rnacentral:rRNA from 1 species
UGCAAGUCGAACGCUUCUUUUUCCACCGGAGCUUGCUCCACCGGAAAAAGAGGAGUGGCGAACGGGUGAGUAACACGUGGGUAACCUGCCCAUCAGAAGGGGAUAACACUUGGAAACAGGUGCUAAUACCGUAUAACAAUCAAAACCGCAUGGUUUUGAUUUGAAAGGCGCUUUCGGGUGUCGCUGAUGGAUGGACCCGCGGUGCAUUAGCUAGUUGGUGAGGUAACGGCUCACCAAGGCCACGAUGCAUAGCCGACCUGAGAGGGUGAUCGGCCACAUUGGGACUGAGACACGGCCCAAACUCCUACGGGAGGCAGCAGUAGGGAAUCUUCGGCAAUGGACGAAAGUCUGACCGAGCAACGCCGCGUGAGUGAAGAAGGUUUUCGGAUCGUAAAACUCUUUGUUAGAGAAGAACAAGGAUGAGAGUAACUGUUCAUCCCUUGACGGUAUCUAACCAGAAAGCCACGGCUAACUACGUGCCAGCAGCCGCGGUAAUACGUAGGUGGCAAGCGUUGUCCGGAUUUAUUGGGCGUAAAGCGAGCGCAGGCGGUUUCUUAAGUCUGAUGUGAAAGCCCCCGGCUCAACCGGGGAGGGUCAUUGGAAACUGGGAGACUUGAGUGCAGAAGAGGAGAGUGGAAUUCCAUGUGUAGCGGUGAAAUGCGUAGAUAUAUGGAGGAACACCAGUGGCGAAGGCGGCUCUCUGGUCUGUAACUGACGCUGAGGCUCGAAAGCGUGGGGA